CCCUCCUGGUUUGCCUUUCUUUACACCC
rnacentral:piRNA from 1 species